rnacentral:rRNA from 1 species
UACGAAGGGGGCUAGCGUUGUUCGGAAUCACUGGGCGUAAAGGCGCGUAGGCGGCCGAUCAAGUCGGGGUGAAAAGCCUGUGGCUUAACCACAGAAUGGCCUUCGAUACUGUUUUGGCUUUUGAGACCGGGAAAAGAGGGUUUAGUGGGAAACUGCGAGUGUAGAGGGUGAAAAUUCGUAGAUAUUCGCAAAGAAACACCCAGUGGGCGAAAGGGCGCUGACUGGGUCCCGGGUUUCUGACGCUGAGGGCGCGAAAGCGUGGGGAGCAAAACAGGGAUUUUAAGAAAACCCCUUUUGUAGUCCAGACCCCAAAGUCUCUGCUACCCGUAA